rnacentral:tRNA from 1 species
UGAUGUAGCUCAAUUGGUAGAGCAACUGACUUGUAAUCAGUAGGUUGGGGGUUCAAGUCCUCUCAUCA